rnacentral:rRNA from 1 species
UACGUAGGUGGCAAGCGUUGUCCGGAUUUACUGGGCGUAAAGAGCGCGCAGGCGGUCGGAUAAGUCGAAUGUGAAAGCCCCCGGCUUAACUGGGGAGGGUCAUUCGAUACUGUUCGACUCGAAGGCAGGAGAGGGAAGUGGAAUUCCCGGUGUAGUGGUGAAAUGCGUAGAGAUCGGGAGGAAUACCUGUGGCGAAGGCGGCCUACUGGGCCGGACCUGACGCUGAGACGCGAAGGCGUGGGGAGCGAACGGG